rnacentral:rRNA from 1 species
CCUACGGGUGGCAGCAGUGGGGAAUAUUGGACAAUGGGCGAAAGCCUGAUCCAGCCAUGCCGCGUGUGUGAAGAAGGCCUUCGGGUUGUAAAGCACUUUCAGUGGGGAAGAAAGCCUUGGGGCUAAUACCCUCGAGGAAGGACAUCACCCACAGAAGAAGCACCGGCUAACUCCGUGCCAGCAGCCGCGGUAAUACGGAGGGUGCGAGCGUUAAUCGGAAUUACUGGGCGUAAAGCGCGCGUAGGCGGUCUGAUAAGCCGGUUGUGAAAGCCCCGGGCUCAACCUGGGAACGGCAUCCGGAACUGGCAGGCUAGAGUGCAGGAGAGGAAGGUAGAAUUCCCGGUGUAGCAGUGAAAUGCGUAGAGAUCGGGAGGAAUACCAGUGGCGAAGGCGGCCUUCUGGACUGACACUGACGCUGAGGUGCGAAAGCGUGGGUAGCAAACAGGAUUAGAUACCCUAGUAGUC